CGCUCCCUGUAAUAUUCGCCAGGCAGCUCAGACCCCUGAGCCGAUGCGCACUACCCCGGGGGUUCCUCGCGUUAUUGGCGUGCAUGUCCGCAUGACGGGAAGCCCGAUGUUUCACAGGAACCACCAACUUGAACCGUAGGGUUCAAGGGCCACGCUGCCAGCGGUAUUUUGGGGAGCUC
rnacentral:other from 1 species